GUAGGAGUGAGCCUGCUCGCGAUGGCGUCGUGUCAGUCGGCACUCAUGUCACUGGAAUACCGCUAUCGCGAGCAGGCUCACUCCUAC
rnacentral:misc_RNA from 1 species